GAGUUUGAUCGUGGCUCAGAUCGAACGCUGGCGGCAGGCCUAACACAUGCAAGUCGAGCGGAUGAAGGGAGCUUGCUCCUGGAUUCAGCGGCGGACGGGUGAGUAAUGCCUAGGAAUCUGCCUGGUAGUGGGGGAUAACGUCCGGAAACGGGCGCUAAUACCGCAUACGUCCUGAGGGAGAAAGUGGGGGAUCUUCGGACCUCACGCUAUCAGAUGAGCCUAGGUCGGAUUAGCUAGUUGGUGGGGUAAAGGCCUACCAAGGCGACGAUCCGUAACUGGUCUGAGAGGAUGAUCAGUCACACUGGAACUGAGACACGGUCCAGACUCCUACGGGAGGCAGCAGUGGGGAAUAUUGGACAAUGGGCGAAAGCCUGAUCCAGCCAUGCCGCGUGUGUGAAGAAGGUCUUCGGAUUGUAAAGCACUUUAAGUUGGGAGGAAGGGCAGUAAGUUAAUACCUUGCUGUUUUGACGUUACCAACAGAAUAAGCACCGGCUAACUUCGUGCCAGCCGCCGCGGUAAU
rnacentral:rRNA from 1 species